UACGUAGGGGGCAAGCGUUGUCCGGAUUUAUUGGGCGUAAAGAGCGUGUAGGCGGCUUUACAGGUCGCUUGUGAAAACUCGAGGCUCAACCUCGAGACGCGGUUGAAACCGUAGCGUAGAGUCCGGAAGAGGAGAGUGGAAUUCCGUGGUAGAGCGGUGAAAUGCGCAGAUAUCGGGAAGAACAUCAGUGGCGAAGGCGGCCUGCUGGGCUGUUGCUGACGCUGAGGCGCGACAGCGUGGGGAGCAAACAGG
rnacentral:rRNA from 1 species